rnacentral:rRNA from 1 species
AUACGGAGGGUGCAAGCGUUAUCCGGAAUCAUUGGGUUUAAAGGGUCCGCAGGCGGAUUAAUAAGUCAGUGGUGAAAUCCUCUCGCUCAACGAGAGAACUGCCAUUGAAACUGUUAGUCUUGAAUUCGGUCGAAGUAGGCGGAAUGUGUCAUGUAGCGGUGAAAUGCAUAGAUAUGACACAGAACACCGAUAGCGAAGGCAGCUUACUAGACCUGGAUUGACGCUCAUGGACGAAAGCGUGGGGAGCAAACAGGAUUAGAAACCCUAGUAGUCC